AUCAGUGGCGUAGCUUGCAUGUAUGCUCAGAUGCUCAAGCAUCCACAUCAUUUUGACCAAAAAAAAUAAAAUAGCAGCAGUUUAACUCGGAAGUAUCCAAAUUUCACAAGGCUGAGGAUAUGAGGAUAACGUCCAGUCAUUUACGAAGCAGUAUGCCUGGUCUUUCAUUUGAUAAUUUAGUUUAUGUAAACAAGAUAGCCACAGAAUAGUGUUUCAAGUUAACUUUUGUUCGUAAAAAAAGUCUACGUCAUCGGCUAAGACAAGCGGAGUGGACUGAUACGCAGACCCGUGGACAUGUUUCAUCUGAAAUUGAACCUAGUGGAGUGAUGGCUUCUCAUUUGACUAUAGCAACUAACAACUAAAACACCAUAUCCUGAUAUUGUUUCUUGCGACAUGGUAAACGACGUGAUAAAAAAAAAAUCAAUUUGUAAUAGAUCGUGAUAAGUCCUAGGCUUAUGAAUUCCCUUUUCUAUCUAGGUUCAAAUACUAAUUAUAUUUUCAAUCAGUAAAGAACAAAGAUCCAAUGUUCCCCGCCAUGCACAUCAGAUGUCAUAUUUUAUCUAUCAAAGGGCAAGGAACAAGGGAAUAACUAAAAAAGCACUUUUUUUUUCUUUUUCUUUUUUAUUUUCAAUAUCUUAAGAGAAAUAAAAGCUUCACAGCAAAUGAAAUGGGAUUUCCAUUACAAUUUAUAUUUCAAAGGGUCAUAACUGGUUAAAAAUAUUUGAUAACGACUUAUUUUCCAAAUUGUCAAAAGAUUGCUUAUGAUAGGAGUUUCACUUAAUCUGACAAGAAUUGUACACAUGAGAGUGCUAACAAGACCGGACGAUUGGACGCCCGGAAUUUUUAUGUCUCCUGCAACACGUUUAGCUCAGUAAUCAAAAAUCAACAACUCAAGGUUGUAGACUCAAAUUCCUGGUUAGAGAAAUCACUUCAGUUCCUAUAUUCCGAAGUUCCUAAAUUAUACAGAAGUGCCGCUGUAAUGGGAUCCGUUUUUGAUAUGUCAAAUAUAAGAUUGGGUGGGAAACUUUACAUCAAAUAUUUAUGAAUUGAAUGAUGGUAGUUUCGAGGAAACAAUAAAAUCUGGUUAAAAAUAUAAACAUAUGAAUUGGUGGGUAUUUUGAAUUUAAACAAAAAUCUAACUAGUGUCGGAUUCUGGGGGAGUACAUGUGCUUAA
rnacentral:lncRNA from 1 species